UUGCUUUGCAUGGGCCUUCUCUGCAUGG
rnacentral:sRNA from 1 species